rnacentral:lncRNA from 1 species
GUCUCUGAUUGGCAGGAGAGUCACGAACCGGUCAGCCCCGGGUCAGGGGCCGCAAGUGAGGACACUACAAGUGUCGAGGGGCCUAGGGGAAGCCGGGGCUUGGGAGGGCAGGGCUUUCUCUGCUUGCGGACAUCGCGAAGGGCCUCUGGCAGGCGCCGCCGGGUGGCGGCGAGACGCCUCCGCGCCUCCGGGGUUCCUUGUUCGCUGUCGGAGGAGGACCGGCUGAGGGAUGGCCUGGUGGGGAGGGAGCCCUCGGGCAGGUGGCUGCGUCGGGCCUGGGGCAGUUGUGCUGCGCUUGGAGACCUGCCCGCCCUCGGGGCCUGUGUGCACAGGGAGGAUAGGCUGUUUAUCUCUGCAGGCUCAGGAAGGCAGGUAGCUGGCCCGUCAGUCAUCCGCCCUGCAAAGCGCUCCCGAGAGACCCCGUAGAGCGGGCCAGCGCGCGCCUGGCCUGAGGUUUCCCGCCCCCGGAGGCCCUCACAUCUCCCCGUUCUGUAGUCAGAAGUCCAACAUGGUUCUCAAUGGCCUAAAAUCAAGGUGUCCACAGGAUUGUGUUCCUUUCUAGAGAGUAUUCCUUCAACAUUUAGAGAGUACCUGUGUGUGAUCUCUCUCAGGAAACACUUACAUAUUUUCUCUUUGUAUUAUUUUUCUGUUGCCAUUAUAACAAAUUACCACAAACUUAGUUGCUUAAAACAACGUAAAUUUAUUAUAUUAUUAUUCUAUAGAUCAGAUGUCUGACAAUAAUCUCACCAACCUAAGAUCAAGUUGACAGCAGGGUAGCACUCUUUACUGGAGACUGCAGGCUAGAAUCUGUUUUCUUGCCUUUUCCCAUUUUGGAGGCUGUCCACAUUCAUUGGCUCUUGGCCCCCUUCUUCUACCUUCAAAGCCUGCAAUGUUGCAUCUCUCUAAUCAUUCUGGCAUAAUCACAAGUGUUUCUCUGACCACAGCCAGGAAUGGUUCUCUGCUUUUAAAGGAUUCUUGUGAUAAAAUUGGACCCACCUGGAUAAACCAUGUCAGUCUUCCCAUUUCAAGAACCUUAACUUGAUUACAUGUGCAAAAUUCCUUUCCCUAUGUAAAGUAAUUUAUUCAUAAGUUCUAUGGAUUGGAGUAUGGACUUCUUUGGAGGACUGUUAUUCUGCCUACCACACUCUUGUACUGUAAAUGAGUCACUGUGGAAAGGUAAUAGGUUGUAGCUUCUGAAAAUAAAGAUAAAUGUUAGCUAGAUUGUUAACAGUAGUGUCAGUAUCAUUUAUGACUCUACUGGUUGUUGAGAGCGAAGUUGGCUUAGUAGAAUGCUUAGGUACUGCAGGGCUCACUGAUUAUGUCUUUGUCUCCUAGGAUUUUUAUUCUACUAGAGAGGGAAGAAUACAUUCAUAUUUGUUGCAUAUCUGCCGUGUCCUAGGUACUCUACAAUGAACUACAGAUACAUUAAUCCCAUUUAAUUUCCACAAUAACUUUAUGAGGUGUGGUAGGAGGCCUUCUAAGAUGACCCAAUGAUCUCCAUCACAUAGCACUCACCCCCUUGUAUAAUCUCCCUCCUUUGAAUGUAAGCUUAACCCAGUGACUCUACCAAUGAACAGAGUAGGACAAUAGUGAUAGUAUAUCAUUUCUGAGAUUGGAUUCCAGAAAACUAUGACUUGUCUCUCACUUACACUGUCUGUCUCUUGCCCUCUUAUUUGCUUGCUUUGAUGAAGCAAGCUGCAGUGUGGUAAACUGCCUUUGAAAGAGACCCACAUGUCAAGAAACUGAGCAUCACCUGUGACCAACAGCCAGAAAGUAACUGAAGCCCCAAGACGAACAGCUUGUGCAAAACUAAAUUCUGCCUACAACAAGAGCAUGAAUUGAGACGCAGAUCCUUCCCUAGUUGAUCCUUGAAAUGCUUGCAGCUCUAUGGACACCUUGAUUGCAGCCUUGUGAGAAAUUCUGAACUAGAGGACCUCGUAUGCCUUACCCAUAGGUCUUACAAGAUAAUACGUGUUUUUCAAAAAAGUAAGUUUGGGGAUAAUUUCUUAUGCAGCAAUAGAUAAUGAAUAAUAAAGUAAAUACAGUUUUUUGCUGUUGACUUCAAAAAUGUUUAAAGAUUUUACUGUUAUAUAAUUGUACAUAUUUAUGGGGUACAUGUGAUAUUUUGAUACAUGCAUACAAUGUGUAAUGAUCAAACUGGGGUAAUUUGAAUAUCCAUCACCUCAAAUGUUAUUUAGUGGUAUUGGGAACAUUCCAAAUCUUGUAGGUAUUUUGAAAUAUACAAAAAGUUAAUUUUAUAUAUAAAUAUAUGUCAUAUAUUAUUAAUAUAUUAAUAAUAUAUGCCAUAUAUAUAUAUGUAUGUAUAAAUGCCAUAUAUAUUAAUUACAUGUAUGGCAUGUUUUCUUUUAUACAUUUAUCCACUGAUAAACACUUAGGUUCCUUCCUUACCUUGGCUAUUGUGAAUAGUGCUGCAAUAAACAUGGGAGUGUAGAUAAUCUCUUUGAUGCACUAGUUUUCUUUCUUUUGGAUGUAUACCUAGCAGUGAGAAUGCAGGAUCAUAUGGUAGAUAUAUUUUUAGUUUUUUGAGGAACUUUCAUACUGUUUUUUACAGUGGCUGUGCUUAUUUACAUUCCCACCAACAGUGUGUGAGUGUUCACAUCCUUGCCAGUAUUUAUUAUUUUUUGUCCUUUGAUAAUUUUAACUGGAGUGAAGUGAUAUAAUUGUGGUUUUGAUUUGCAUUUCCCUAAUGAUUAGUGAUGUUGGGUAUUUUUUUUAAUACCUGUUGGCCAUUUGUAUGUAUUCUUUUAUGAAGCAUCUAUUUAGAUCAUUUGUCCAUUUGUAAAUCAGAUUAUUUGUUUUUUUGCUAUUGAGUUGUUUGAGUUUCUUAUAUGUUCUGGUUAUUAAUCCCUUGUUGGAUGGAUAGUUUGCAAAUAUUUUAUCCCAUUCUGCAGGUUGUCUCUUUAUUGAUUGUUUCCUUUGCUGUGCAGAAGCUUUGCUUUAGUACAGAUAAUAAAACAAAUACUUGGAAAGAUUAGGCAACUUCCUGGGUCACUUAAUUAUUAGUAGAAGCUCUUUCCACUGCAAAUAGUGAUGAUAAUAGUAAUAAAAUUGAAGUAUUAGUAGUUGCUUAUGUUUAUUGAGCAAUUACUAGGUAUUAGACAACUUUCAGUGCAUUUUAUAUGUUAUAAUCUUAGAUUAUUACAACUUUAUAAAGUAGGUACUAUAAUUAUCUCAUUUGAUAAAUGAUGAAAUUGGAUUUAAGAGAGGUCAAACUAUAUUCCCAAGAUCCGCAGUGAGCCAGUAGAUUGGCAGGAUUUGAACUCAGGUUGUAUGGCUCUUGAGUUCUCACUCUUACCACUAUAAUAAAUUGUUCCCUAAAGAUCCAUGCUAUGAGGCAAAAGGUGAUGGUGCAGCAGGAAGAAAUGAAAGGUUACAGUCUGUCAGGCGAAUGAGAUUAUCCCUGACCAAGUUAUUAGGAAAUGCUGUGGCACUAGGAAGGUAUCCGACAUGGCUCUGAAAGGCUGGGUAGAAUUUAAGCUUCUGGCUGUUAGAGGAAAGAGCAUAAUCAGCUGAGCAAGACAGCUGGAGAAGCAUGA